CUGAACCAGCCAAGUAGCGUGAAGGAUGACUGCCCUAUGGGUUGUAAACUUCUUUUAUAAAGGAAUAAAGUCGGGUAUGCAUACCCGUUUGCGUGUACUUUAUGAAUAAGGAUCGGCUAACUCCGUGCCAGCAGCCGCGGUAAUACAGAGGAUCCGAGCGUUAUCCGGAUUUAUUGGGUUUAAAGGGAGCGUAGAUGGAUGUUUAAGUCAGUUGUGAAAGUUUGCGG
rnacentral:rRNA from 1 species